rnacentral:lncRNA from 1 species
GUCGAUACAUCCUUCUUUGGGGGAGCUGACGCAGGGUAUUGAUUAUUUAGAGCUUCAAUUUCAUUCUUAGCCUGGGAUUGAUCUUUAUUAUCCAAUGUCGUCGUAGGAACAAGAUUUUUCUUCUCCAGCUUAUUGGAUUUUCGCCUUGGGGGAAACUUAACAGUCUGUCGUUUCGUUGGGGCUGGGUAGGCAUAGUUGUAGCUUUAGUGAGACCUGGCGAG